AUUGCCCGGCAUUAAGUAGGGUUUGUGCCUUUGUCAGCCUUCCCCUCCCAGUGGACCUCCCCUCCCACUUCCAGGACUCAUCUGGAGUGAGCUGGUCAAUUUAAGGCUUUCUGCCUUAAUCUUGGCUUUCCACAGUCUGAUCUCAAUGCAGUGUUUCUCCAGGUGAUUGUUUUCCUUUUUUGCUCUGGAAACACACCCUUCCCACCCACAAAAUGAUUGGACUGCAUCAAAUGAGCAGGGAAGAGGCCUAGUAGGCCACAUUUCUUUUUAAUAGAAGCUGAUUCAUGCUGAAAGAAUAUGAUUAUUUGCAUCAUUUUCAUGGCGUGGUAGGCAGAAUAAUGUUCCCCCAAAGAUAUCCACACCCUAAUCCCCCAAACCUGUGAAUAUAUUAUGUUACAAGGUGUGAUUAAGGUUAUGAACCUAAGGAUGAGGAGAUAAUCCUUGAUUGUCAGGGUGGGUCCAGGCUCAUCACAUGGGCCCUUAGAAGGCAGAGAACUUUCUCCUACUGCAAGCAGAAGAGAGAUGUGAGAGAAAUGGCAGGAGAGAUGAGACAGAUGGGAAGGUCUGAAAGAUUUAAAGCAUAAGGACUCAACAGGCCAUCACUGGCUUUGAAGGUGAGGGGGCCACUAGAAGCUGAGAACAACCUCUGGCGGACAGUCUACAAAUAAAUGAGGUCCUUGGUCCUGCAACAGCAUGGAACUGAAUUCUGCCAACAACCUGAAUGAGUUUGAAACUGGGUUCUCUUCUGGAGCCUCCAGUAAGAAAUGCAGUCCUGGUAACACCUUGAUAUUAGUCUGGUGAGACCCCUGUUGGACUCUAACCCACAGAACUGUGAGAUAUGGAAGGGUACUUUUUUUGGCAGCAUUGUUUUAUUUCCCCAGCAAAGUCUUAUGAGCCCAGUCGUAUAAGAUCUGGAAAUCCUGACUCAGUGGAACGGUAAGAUCUUAAAGUCAUUUAAGCGAUGCCAUCAGAAGUGUGUACCCAGAGAAGCAUCAGAGUAAAACAAAAUAACUAUAUGUAGAUGACAAAGACUUAAAAUGUCUGCGAUUGAUUUAUUGAUGAUAAUUUUCAAAAGUGAAAGAUCUGAUGCAAGUUCUGACCAAGAUGGAAUUAACUUCCCCCUUAGCUUGGCUAAACUUUAUACAGACUUCUCCCUAAAUCUUAGCCCCUGACUUCCCUCACCCUGGCCUUUACAGAAUCCAGAUGGAACAUAUAGUACUUUUCUACUAGUUCAUUCCAGAAACUGAAAGAUCUGCUGCCCUUUGUUUCAGUGAAGUUGAGUUCUGGCCUCUUUUCCCUUUUGUAAUGGUCUUGAAUAAAGCCAUCCUUGCCCGUUUAA